GACGAACGCUGGCGGCGUGCUUAACACAUGCAAGUCGAGCGGUAAGGCCCUUUCGGGGUACACGAGCGGCGAACGGGUGAGCAACACGUGGGUGACCUGCCCUUAGCUCUGGGAUAAGCCUGGGAAACUGGGUCUAAUACCGGAUAUGACUCCAUGACGCAUGUUGUGGGGUGGAAAGCCUUGUGCGGCUAGGGAUGGGCCCGCGGCCUAUCAGCUUGUUGGUGGGGUGANGGCCUACCAAGGCGACGACGGGUAGCCGGCCUGAGAGGGCGACCGGCCACACUGGGACUGAGACACGGCCCAGACUCCUACGGGAGGCAGCAGUGGGGAAUCUUGCGCAAUGGGCGAAAGCCUGACGCAGCGACGCCGCGUGGGGAUGACGGCCU
rnacentral:rRNA from 1 species